rnacentral:rRNA from 1 species
GACGAACGCUGGUGGCGUGCUUAACACAUGCAAGUCGAACGGAAAGGCCCUGCUUUUGUGGGGUGCUCGAGUGGCGAACGGGUGAGUAACACGUGAGUAACCUGCCCUUGACUUUGGGAUAACUUCAGGAAACUGGGGCUAAUACCGGAUAGGAGCUCCUGCUGCAUGGUGGGGGUUGGAAAGUUUUGGCGGUUGGGGAUGGACUCGCGGCUUAUCAGCUUGUUGGUGGGGUAGUGGCUUACCAAGGCUUUGACGGGUAGCCGGCCUGAGAGGGUGACCGGCCACAUUGGGACUGAGACACGGCCCAGACUCCUACGGGAGGCAGCAGUGGGGAAUAUUGCACAAUGGGCGGAAGCCUGAUGCAGCAACGCCGCGUGCGGGAUGACGGCCUUCGGGUUGUAAACCGCUUUCGCCUGUGACGAAGCGUGAGUGACGGUAAUGGGUAAAGAAGCACCGGCUAACUACGUGCCAGCAGCCGCGGUGAUACGUAGGGUGCGAGCGUUGUCCGGAUUUAUUGGGCGUAAAGGGCUCGUAGGUGGUUGAUCGCGUCGGAAGUGUAAUCUUGGGGCUUAACCCUGAGCGUGCUUUCGAUACGGGUUGACUUGAGGAAGGUAGGGGAGAAUGGAAUUCCUGGUGGAGCGGUGGAAUGCGCAGAUAUCAGGAGGAACACCAGUGGCGAAGGCGGUUCUCUGGGCCUUUCCUGACGCUGAGGAGCGAAAGCGUGGGGAGCGAACAGGCUUAGAUACCCUGGUAGUCCACGCUGUAAACGGUGGGUACUAGGUGUGGGGUCCAUUCCACGGGUUCCGUGCCGUAGCUAACGCUUUAAGUACCCCGCCUGGGGAGUACGGCCGCAAGGCUAAAACUCAAAGGAAUUGACGGGGCCCCGCACAAGCGGCGGAGCAUGCGGAUUAAUUCGAUGCAACGCGUAGAACCUUACCUGGGUUUGACAUGGAUCGGGAGUGCUCAGAGAUGGGUGUGCCUCUUUUGGGGUCGGUUCACAGGUGGUGCAUGGCUGUCGUCAGCUCGUGUCGUGAGAUGUUGGGUUAAGUCCCGCAACGAGCGCAACCCUUGUUCACUGUUGCCAGCACGUUAUGGUGGGGACUCAGUGGAGACCGCCGGGGUCAACUCGGAGGAAGGUGGGGAUGACGUCAAGUCAUCAUGCCCCUUAUGUCCAGGGCUUCACGCAUGCUACAACGGCUGGUACAGAGAGUGGCGAGCCUGUGAGGGUGAGCGAAUCUCGGAAAGCCGGUCUCAGUUCGGAUUGGGGUCUGCAACUCGACCUCAUGAAGUCGGAGUCGCUAGUAAUCGCAGAUCAGCAACGCUGCGGUGAAUACGUUCCCGGG